rnacentral:rRNA from 1 species
AGUGAACGCUGGCGGUAGACCUAACACAUGCGAGUCGAACGGCAGCACAGUAAGAGCUUGCUCUUACGGGUGGCGAGUGGCGGACGGGUGAGGAAUACAUCGGAAUCUACUUUUUCGUGGGGGAUAACGUAGGGAAACUUACGCUAAUACCGCAUACGACCUACGGGUGAAAGCAGGGGAUCUUCGGACCUUGCGCGAUUGAAUGAGCCGAUGUCGGAUUAGCUAGUUGGCGGGGUAAAGGCCCACCAAGGCGACGAUCCGUAGCUGGUCUGAGAGGAUGAUCAGCCACACUGGAACUGAGACACGGUCCAGACUCCUACGGGAGGCAGCAGUGGGGAGUAUUGGACAAUGGGCGCAAGCCUGAUCCAGCCAUACCGCGUGGGUGAAGAAGGCCUUCGGGUUGUAAAGCCCUUUUGUUGGGAAAGAAAAGCAGCAGGUUAAUACCCCGCUGUUCUGACGGUACCCAAAGAAUAAGCACCGGCUAACUUCGUG